rnacentral:rRNA from 1 species
GACGGGUGAGUAACGCGUGGAAACGUGCCUUUCACUACGGAAUAGCUUUUGGAAACGAAAGGUAAUACCGUAUACGCCCUCCGGGGGAAAGAUUUAUCGGUGAAAGAUCGGUCCGCGUUAGAUUAGCUAGUUGGUGAGGUAAGAGCUCACCAAGGCGACGAUCUAUAGCUGGUCUGAGAGGAUGAUCAGCCACACUGGGACUGAGACACGGCCCAGACUCCUACGGGAGGCAGCAGUGGGGAAUAUUGCACAAUGGGCGCAAGCCUGAUGCAGCCAUGCCGCGUGAAUGAUGAAGGCCUUAGGGUUGUAAAAUUCUUUCGCCAAGGAUGAUAAUGACAGUACUUGGUAAAGAAGCCCCGGCUAACUUCGUGCCAGCAGCCGCGGUAAUACGAAGGGGGCUAGCGUUGUUCGGAAUUACUGGGCUUAAAGAGCUCGUAGGUGGUUAAAAAAGUUGAUGGUGAAAUCC